AGUGAACGCUGGCGGCAGGCCUAACACAUGCAAGUCGAGCGGCAGCGCGGGGGCAACCCUGGCGGCGAGCGGCGGACGGGUGAGGAAUUCGUCGGAAUCUGCCUUUUUGUGGGGGAUAACGUAGGGAAACUUACGCUAAUACCGCAUACGUCCUACGGGAGAAAGGGGGGGACCGCAAGGCCUCACGCAGAAAGAUGAGCCGACGACCGAUUAGCUAGUUGGUGGGGUAAAGGCCCACCAAGGCGACGAUCGGUAGCUGGUCUGAGAGGAUGAUCAGCCACACUGGAACUGAGACACGGCCCAGACUCCUACGGGAGGCAGCAGUGGGGAAUAUUGGACAAUGGGCGCAAGCCUGAUCCAGCCAUGCCGCGUGUGUGAAGAAGGCCUUCGGGUUGUAAAGCACUUUUGUCCGGAAAGAAAUCCCUGGAGCUAAUACCUUCGGGGGAUGACGGUACCGGAAGAAUAAGCACCGGCUAACUUCGUG
rnacentral:rRNA from 1 species